UACAGAGGGUGCGAGCGUUAAUCGGAAUUACUGGGCGUAAAGCGCGCGUAGGCGGCUUUGCAAGUCGGGUGUGAAAUCCCCAGGCUUAACCUGGGAACUGCAUUCGAGACUGCAUUGCUAGAGUAUGGGAGAGGGAAGUGGAAUUUCAGGUGUAGCGGUGAAAUGCGUAGAUAUCUGAAGGAACAUCAGUGGCGAAAGCGACUUCCUGGACCAAUACUGACGCUGAUGUGCGAAAGCGUGGGGAGCGAACAGG
rnacentral:rRNA from 1 species